AACGAACGCUGGCGGCGCGCCUAAUACAUGCAAGUCGAGCGAGAAGACGUAGCAAUACGUUUGUAAAGCGGCGAACGGGUGAGGAAUACAUGGGUAACCUACCCUCGAGUGGGGAAUAACUAGCCGAAAGGUUAGCUAAUACCGCGUACGCUCCUUGGACUUCGGUUCAGGGAGGAAAGCGAUACCGUGGGUAUCGCGCUCUCGGAUGGGCUCAUGUCCUAUCAGCUUGUUGGUGAGGUAACGGCUCACCAAGGCUUCGACGGGUAGCUGGUCUGAGAGGACGAUCAGCCACACUGGCACUGCGACACGGGCCAGACUCCUACGGGAGCAGCAGUAAGGAAUAUUGCGCAAUGGGCGAAAGCCUGACGCAGCGACGCCGCGUGGGGGAUGAAGGUCUUCGGAUUGUAAACCCCUUUCGGGAGGGAAGAUGGAACGAGCAAUCGUUCGGACGGUACCUCCAG
rnacentral:rRNA from 1 species